UACGAAGGGUGCAAACGUUAUUCGGAAUCACUGGGCGUAAAGGGUGCGUAGACGGCUUAUUAAGUUCGUUGUUAAAGGCUCCGGCCCAACCGGAGUAUUGCGAUGAAAACUGGUAAACUAGAGGAUGAGAGAGAGAAGUGGAAUUCCCGGAGUAGCGGUAAAAUGCGUGGAUCUCGGGAGGAACACCAAUGGCGAAGGCAGCUUCUUGGCUCAUAUCUGACGUUGAGGCACGAAAGCGUGGGGAGCAAACGGG
rnacentral:rRNA from 1 species